UACGAAGGGGGCUAGCGUUGUUCGGAAUCACUGGGCGUAAAGCGUAUGCAGGCGGAUCGCUAAGUCAGGGGUGAAAUCCCGAGGCUCAACCUCGGAACUGCCUUUGAUACUGACGAUCUUGAGUCCGGGAGAGGUGAGUGGAACUGCGAGUGUAGAGGUGAAAUUCGUAGAUAUUCGCAAGAACACCGGUGGCGAGGCGGCGUUCUCGGAGCUGCAACUGACACUGAGAAACGAAAGCCAGGGUAGCAAACGGG
rnacentral:rRNA from 1 species